UACAGAGGGGGCAAGCGUUGUUCGGAAUUACUGGGCGUAAAGGGCGCGCAGGCGGCCUGUUAAGUCGAACGUGAAAUCCCCGGGCUCAACCCGGGAACUGCGUCCGAUACUGGCAGGCUUGAAUCCGGGAGAGGGAUGCGGAAUUCCAGGUGUAGCGGUGAAAUGCGUAGAUAUCUGGAGGAACACCGGUGGCGAAGGCGGCAUCCUGGACCGGUAUUGACGCUGAGGCGCGAAAGCCAGGGGAGCAAACGGG
rnacentral:rRNA from 1 species